rnacentral:rRNA from 1 species
GAUGAACGCUGGCGGCGUGCCUAAUACAUGCAAGUCGAGCGAAGCGGGGACGGGUGAGUAACACGUGGAUAACCUCCUAUAAGACUGGGAUAACUUCGGGAAACCGGCGCUAACACGGAUAAUUAUCGGUUGCUCAGCGCUGCAUUAGCUAGUUGGUAAGGUAACGGCUUACAAAGGAAACGAUGCAUAGCCUAACUGAGAGGGUGAUCGGCCACACUGGAACUGAUACACGGUCCAGACUCCUACGGGAGGCAGCAGUAGGGAAUCUUCCGCAAUGGGCGAAAGCCUGACGGAGCAACGCCGCGUGAGUGAUGAAGGUCUUCGGAUCGUAAAACUCUGUUAUUAGGGAAGCGGUACCUAAUCAGAAAGCCACGGCUAACUACGUGCCAGCAGCCGCGGUAAUUC